CGUUUGCGAGUUAUUAAGCGCGUUAGAGAGUUUCGAGUCACUUCAUCAUCGGGAGUUACGUAACGGGUAGAGUAUGUUAGUCUUAGGGUUGACUGAGCACUACCCCUACAGCUCGAAGUAAAGUGAAAGUGAAGUAUAGAAGAAAGGAUGUGCCACCCAUAUUAGAUUCUUGAAGCUGCAUAGGGAACAAGCAAAGCAACAGGCGAAAAGGGAAAGCUAAUAACUCUACGAAACGACAACAAAUGGAAUGCAAAUAACUCCACGAAAUGACAACAAGGGUAAAGUCCAGCCAAGUAAAAGGUAAGGUCAGGGAACAAGCAAUGUAUAAUGUAUAGCUUACGUGAGCAGAACGAACAAGUAACGACGAUAAGAAUAAUGUACUCUGGAAUAAUUGAGUACUCAUAUGUAUUUGGUAAGGCCCACACUAUGUAUCGUAUAAAGUGGAGUCGCCUGUUGCAAGACAAGAGUGAGUACAGGCAAAACAGUAGUUGCAAGACAAGAGAAGUAUAAAGUGGAGUCGCCUCUAAGGCAGAAAGAAGCUUAUUAGUCUAUGGAAGAAAGAAGCUUAUUAGUCCAGUAUAAGUAAUGUUAUAUGGCAAAGAGCUGUAAGGCAGAAAGAAAAAGCUUAUUAAUCUAUGGAAGAAAGAAGCUUAUUAGUCUAUAUUCUGAGUAAUGUUAUAUGGCAAAGAGCUGUAAGGCUGUGUUCUUAUAAAGUAAAGAAGCAUAAGCAAGGAACAACAAACUUGGAAAGUCAAAGAGCUCACGGUAGCUUGAGAUAACUCCGCCUAGUGGCUUGGCGGCUUGUCCGGCUUGCACUUAUAUUAAAGCUGCUUGGCCCCGGUUUCCAAAGAAAUUGUUUGACAACCACAUAAGAGAAAUAAGGAAAGGAAGAGACAAGGCAAACGCUUAAAACACUUGGAGAGAGCGCUACUAACCCGAGCUCAUCAGUAGGAGAAUAUUCCGUUAGAGAACCAAAGCAGCAUAAAGAUCAGACUAAGUGGAAAGAUCUUACGCAGGAAAGGGUGUUGUUGAUGACAGUGAAAGUUCCGCUCAAAAGUAAGUGAAAGUUCAAUGACUGUUUUCGGGGUAUAGAGAGGGUCAUCCUCCAUGAAAUCCUCUUUUCUGCAUUUCUAGGAGAGAGGCCCUUAUUGUAAGUUUCGGCAAGGGGACAAGCUACUGCUUGCUUAAUCUGAAUUGAAUCUAUUUCAUCUAUCUCUUGCUCCACUUUCUUAACUACUGGCUCCCGACUCCUGACUUUUGACUUAUCCCUUGAAUGUGAAUGGAAGCCUUACUCUCCCACCUCUAAGUCUUUAUUGCUAGGAUCUGUCCUGAACUCUGACUUUUGCGCUUCCCCUCCUAGCCUAGGGUCUUGCUUACUUGCUUUCAUUCCCUUACUGCUUAACUGUAUCCUUGCUUAUAGGCCUUAGUCUACUACUUGCUUCUUUUACUGGGAACUGGGCAUUAAAUAAAGGAUUCUCAUACAACUACUAAUACAGCUAAGGCAACAACUAAAUAUGGGGAAUCAAACACAGAAGUCAGCCUUCCAUUACCAAUUCCAAUUUCCUCAACGAGAAGGCCUUCCUGCCUUGCUUACCCUCCUUGCUUAUCGGCUUUAGGAUGAAAAACAGAACCUAGACUUUGACUACUACCGGAAAGACCUUCACUCGAUAACCAGAUCCUAUAUUUGAUUAUUGGUACGCUACUCUGCUCUCUCAUUCUGCUACUCCUCCACCCUAGGCUUGCUUGACUUCUUUUAAGACUAUAGCUGCAGCAUCCGAUCUUGCCUUUAAUCAAUGUCAACAGGACUUAACAACUCAUACUAAUAAUACCUAUACUACAAAGGGAAUUGACUGUUUUCCUUGCGCCGGGUAUCAUGCAAUCGGGUCGCAUUAAGUUUCAAGUUCCAGUUCUAGGAUUAUGAUAUGAUGCUGGUCAUUAUGGAAUCAGAAGUAUUGUAGAAAGGGCAGUAAGCAUAAGCUCAAGUAAAUCAGCUACGGAAUUGCCUGUUCUUCCAGUUGUGUUGUGCAUCAGCCAUAAUAUAGGUGUGUGAUAAGAAGCUCCAUAAAUCCGUCUUUUCUCCUUUGUUUGUCGAUAGGAGUUUCUUCAUCUGUUUCCUAGGGCAGCUUACUUCCCCGAUCCUGUUUUUCAUCUUUCCACUGUUUCUUCUACUGGUCCUAGAACUAUAGCAAUUCCAUUCUUUUCCUCGGGUACGUCCAUAUAGCUGGUACGUAAACGAAACUUCUCCCCCGCAUUCCUAUUCUAUGUAGACUACUUGUAAUUCCUAUUCUAAGUCUCCUACUUACUUAUACUGACUUACUUUCUAAUGUUACGCCAUAUAGCGCAUAGAAUAAUCGAAUUGAAACUCUGUUGGCGCAGCGCACGACCUCUCCUCUCUCUUGAAACUAACUAACCUAUGAUCUUAGGGGCCCGGCCGAUCUAUCUCUUGAAUCGCGACAACACACCCGACCCCUACUGGUACACAACCAUAUCCCUAUUGAUU
rnacentral:lncRNA from 1 species